GCCACCACCACCACCACCACCAUUCUACGACUAGACGACGCCUUUAUUCAACAUCUAUUCAGAGCUCGUAACACUGCGUACGCACUUGGAGUUGUUGUCCCUCACCAUUCGCUUACUGACACUGAUUGUAAACGGAGGAUCAAUGUGAUGUACGGGAUACCAUUGAUCAAUGAGAAUCAAACGUGAGAAGAUUGUGGACUAAUAAUAAUGUGACUUGGAGUUAUUUCUUAUCUUUGUAAUUCGUUGUAAGAGUCGAGAUAAAACGGUCGUUCUUGCGAACUUCGCAAAAAAGGUUCGUGAAAAAGAGAUAGCCUUGUAGAAAUAAGGCCUACUAAAUAUCUUCUUUAUUUAUUCGUGAAGCUUCUUUUUAUUAAGGAAUAUUAAAGAAAAAUAAGGGAGAGAUACGAAUUUGCUCGUGAAGUCUCAGAGAGUAAUGUAAAUUAAGCUGUAAAUGUAAAAAAAAAAAGAUUUUGACGAUUUUCUAGCUAGCAGCGAAACGAGAUGAUACGAGAUGAUACGAGAUGAUUCAAAAAGUUGGAAAGGAAAUAGGGAAAAGAUUGAAGAGAACCAAUGAAAGGAAUCCUCUAACGGGGGAUGGGUAUAAUUGGCGGGAAAACUUAAUUAAGUCGUCGAGCGGAAGUUGGUAGAGCGAGUUGGAGCUGGCACCUUCAAACGAAGAAGACGUCUACGACGAUAGAGCUUCUCAUAAAGGAGCUCACUUAAGAACGGUGAACCAUAGCAACAAUGAUCUUCGAAGAAAAUUUACAUAAAUUUAUUUUCUCGUUGAAUUCGAUCUCGUACAAAGUGCAACGUUCACUCCUUUACCCGUUCGUCGCCUAUUUCCUGCCCGUUUCUGCACGUUAAUGAACGAUAUGAAUAAAACACGAUAUACAUACAUAUUAAAUAUCAAAUACUAGCCAUCA